CCCCCUAAAGAUGAUGUCAUUUCUCAUCUUCCAAAUAGACCAGACUACAGCAAACCACAUCAUUCUCCAAACAGCUUUCCCUUUUACAAUUCUACACAGAGAUUCAUGCAUCUUAAAUGAUUCCAAAACCGUAUCAGGUAGUGUUAUUUGAAUUUGAAGCCAAGAAUAGAACUCUUUCCACACAUUAGAAACAAAAGGACAAGAAAGAAAA
rnacentral:lncRNA from 1 species